AGUCGAGCGAGGUAGCAAUACCUAGCGGCAGACGGGUGCGUAACAUGUGGGAAUCUGCCUUUUGGUUCGGAACAACACGGGGAAACCUGUGCUAAUACCGGAUAAGUCCUUACGGAGAAAGUUUUAAUGCCAAAAGAUGAGCCCGCAUUUGAUUAGCUAGUUGGUAGUGUAAUGGACUACCAAGGCAACGAUCAGUAACUGGUCUGAGAGGACGAUCAGUCACACUGGAACUGAGACACGGUCCAGACUCC
rnacentral:rRNA from 1 species